CACACACUGCCUUGAUAUCAAGGGCCGUCACUUUCAACUUGCUUCUAGGAUUUCGCUGUUUUAUUCCUGUUUGGACCAAGACUGUAAUGAGGCUGAAACUAAUUGUUCUGGCAAAGCCUAAAGUAAGCAUUGAUGGAUGGUUAUUCAUGCUGUUUCUGGGUGUCACCUGGAGUAAUCAAGUUGACUGAAGGUUGCCUUCUAUCAUGGUGGGAAUAUCAAGCAGAAGUCAUAAUGGAUCUUCCACACAGAACUUCUCCUUGAGCAGGCUGGGAAUCUGCAAACCAAGGAGGGUUUGCCUGUUGCUGGCUUGGAAUUCAACAUCUCACGGUGAGAACAUAAAGC